ACCUGCAUUUCAAGGACAUUGUGUAUGCAAAAGGCUGGUCCCCACCCAGAGCGCCAGUCUUCUGAACCCACCAGAAAAUUGACUUGGAGAGAUUAAGAACCCUUCAAAAUACACUUCAAGAGUUCACAGAGAAAAGCAACUCUCUCUGAAUGAAUAGAAGGGUAUUCUGUUCAUGCAACAAAAUCUUUCCAUUGUGAGAUUGAAGAGCAUCUUUGCUUCAGAUACAUUGGGACAAUAAUGUGCACGAAACCACUUUGUACCAAUUCUUUAAACAACUCCCAUUCUCCCUGGAUUCGUAAAAUAGUAUGAGAUGUAUGUCCAAUAAUUUGAAGCUGGAAAAUUGUUAAAGUUUAUAGUGUGA